rnacentral:rRNA from 1 species
UACGAAGGGGGCUAGCGUUGCUCGGAAUCACUGGGCGUAAAGGGUGCGUAGGCGGGUCUUUAAGUCAGGGGUGAAAUCCUGGAGCUCAACUCCAGAACUGCCUUUGAUACUGAGGAUCUUGAGUACGGGAGAGGUGAGUAGAACUGCGAGUGUAGAGGUGAAAUUCGUAGAUAUUCGCAAGAACACCAGUGGCGAAGGCGGCUCACUGGCCCGUAACUGACGCUGAGGCACGAAAGCGUGGGGAGCAAACAGG